UCUACUAAUCAAUUAAUGGGUAACUUAGCUUUCAUUCUUGAUCCAUCUCUCAGGAGACAAGAUCAAAACAACAUAACACCACAAUGGGAAACAGAACAUGAAGAUGAUCAAAACCAAAAUCAAAAUCCACAAGCAUGGAUUACACUCCGAUUCGUAAGACCAACUCGUCCACCAAGGCCUAUUGCACCACCGCCACAACCACAAAACUUGGCACCCCAACCCAAUGACAAUGACGCUCCUUCGUUAGACGAGUUCUUUGAUGGGAUGAUUCACAACAACAGCAGACCAGGGCCACCUCCCGCAUCACCUUCCGCCAUUGAAGCCUUGCCAAUGGUGAAAGUGACAGAAUCCCAUUUGACAAGUGACCCGAAUUGUCCAAUAUGCAAAGAUGAGUUUGAGGUUGAUGUGGAAGUGAGAGAGUUACCAUGCAAACAUUUCUACCAUUCUGACUGCAUUCUACCUUGGCUUCGCAUGCACAACACUUGCCCCGUAUGCCGCCAUGAGAUACAAGGGAUCGAUAAUAGUAAUGCUAGUUACUACUUUUCCCAUAAUGAGAAUGAGCAACAUGGGUUCAUUGGGUUUGAGGAAUUUACAAGCAGCAUUAACUGGAUCUGGAGCCAACUUGCUUUGUUUAGACCUAUUCGUGCAGUUCUAGAUUGGACGCGGUCCUAUUUUGAAUUCCAUGCCCGUGCUCAUAGUAGAAGUAGCUCUUGGUGGCGGGCAUUGCUCAUUUCGUAGAUUCGUCUAUGAAAUCUCACACUGAAGCAUGGUUUUUCAUGUUGGGAUUAUUCCAUUGUUUAUGGUAAUUCAUUUGCUCCACUAUUGAGGGGUAUACUAUCAAAUUGUGUGAUGCACAUUAUAGUUCCCACUAAAUUUGGUGGCUAUGAGAGUGUGCAUCUCACAUGAAAUCAAUUACACUGUAUAUCUGAUAAUGUGCAUAAAUAUAUAUUCAAAGAUUGUUUUUCCUAUAUUGUUAUUAAGGCAUAUAUCCCCUACAUUUUGUAGUGUUUUUAUUUUCUUCUAAAUCUAGUUUCUUCUGUAAGUUUUUUAUUGGAUUUGCUUGUAAACUUUAUUCUGUUUUUGUUUCUUUUGUAAGAAAACUUGAAAUUUCUUUAACUCUUUAGUUUUAAAUACAAAAGAUGAAGAAAAAAAAAAGAACAAGAAAACAUGCAGAAUAGCAAUGUAGCAGAAGUAGUAUCAUGAUUUGUUUAGUGAAGAAGUUUGUGUGUGAAAUUGGAAAGAGUACGGUAAAUUUCGAUGUGCCCCAGCCAACCAUCGCCAACGCCGCUUACCUCCAUUGCACCAGUCACCAUCUCUGCCUUGAGGUUCUUCACUCCUGUUUCAAGGUUGUAGGAUUAUAAUCCAUAUUGGCAUUAAAUUUGACAAUUGGGGACAUGUAAGUAUAACAUUGCCUUAAUACAUUUACCAGUUCUUUCUUCAAUCAAGAGCGAUUGUUUGUAA